GACGAACGCUGGCGGCGUGCUUAACGCAUGCAAGUCGAACGGUAAGGCCCUUCGGGGUACACGAGUGGCGAACGGGUGAGUAACACGUGGGUGAUCUGCCCUGCACUUCGGGAUAAGCCUGGGAAACUGGGUCUAAUACCGGAUAGGACCACUGCCUGCAUGGGUGGUGGUGGAAAGCUUUUGCGGUGUGGGAUGGGCCCGCGGCCUAUCAGCUUGUUGGUGGGGUGAUGGCCUACCAAGGCGACGACGGGUAGCCGGCCUGAGAGGGUGACCGGCCACACUGGGACUGAGAUACGGCCCAGACGCAUACGGGAGGCAGCAGGGGGGAAUAUUGCACAAUGGGCGCAAGCCGGAAGCAGCGACGCCGCGUGAGGGAGGACGGCCUUCGGGUUGUAAACCUCUUUCAGCACCGACGAAGCGCAAGUGACGGUAGGUGCAGAAGAAGGACCGGCCAACUACGUGCCAGCAGCCGCCGUAA
rnacentral:rRNA from 1 species